rnacentral:tRNA from 1 species
UUUUGGGUGGCUGAGUUUAAGCGUUAGACUUUUAAUUUAAUUACGAUGUUAUGAAUAUCCCCGGCAC